rnacentral:rRNA from 1 species
AGCGAACGCUGGCGGCAGGCUUAACACAUGCAAGUCGAGCGGGCACUUCGGUGUCAGCGGCAGACGGGUGAGUAACACGUGGGAACGUACCCUUCGGUUCGGAAUAACGCGGGGAAACUAGCGCUAAUACUGGAUACGCCCUCUUGUGGUAAGGUUUACUACGGGAGGAUCGGACCGCGUCUGAUUAGCUAGGUGGUGGGGUAAUGGCCUACCAAGGCGACGAUCAGUAGCUGGUCUGAGAGGAUGAUCCGCCACACUGGGACGGAGACACGGCCCAGACUCCUACGGGAGGCAGGAGUGGGGAAUAUUGGAAAAUGGGCGCAAGCCUGAUCCAGCCAUGCCGCGUGAGUGAUGAAGGCCUUAGGGUUGUAAAGCUCUUUUGUCCGGGACGAUAAUGACGGUACCGGAAGAAUAAGCCCCGGCUAACUUCGUG